rnacentral:rRNA from 1 species
GAGGAAUAUUGGUCAAUGGACGGAAGUCUGAACCAGCCAAGUAGCGUGCAGGAUGACGGCCCUAUGGGUUGUAAACUGCUUUUGUAUGGGGACAAAGUUAGGGACGUGUCCCUAUUUGCAGGUACCAUACGAAUAAGGACCGGCUAAUUCCGUGCCAGCAGCCGCGGUAAUACGGAAGGUCCAGGCGUUAUCCGGAUUUAUUGGGUUUAAAGGGAGCGUAGGCUGGAGAUUAAGUGUGUUGUGAAAUGUAGACGCUCAACGUCUGAAUUGCAGCGCAUACUGGUUUCCUUGAGUACGCACAACGUUGGCGGAAUUCGUCGUGUAGCGGUGAAAUGCUUAGAUAUGACGAAGAACUCCGAUUGCGAAGGCAGCUGACGGGAGCGCAACUGACGCUUAAGCUCGAAGGUGCGGGUAUCAAACAGGAUUAGAUACCCUGGUAGUCCGCACAGUAAACGAUGGAUGCCCGCUGUUGGUACCUGGUAUCAGCGGCUAAGCGAAAGCAUUAAGCAUCCCACCUGGGGAGUACGCCGGCAACGGUG